rnacentral:rRNA from 1 species
UACGUAGGGGGCAAGCGUUGUCCGGAUUUAUUGGGCGUAAAGAGCGUGUAGGCGGCCAGACAGGUCAGCUGUGAAAACUCGAGGCUCAACCUCGAGACGUCGGUUGAAACCGUCUGGCUAGAGUCCGGAAGAGGAGAGUGGAAUUCCCGGUGUGAGCGGUGAAAUGCGCAGAUAUCGGGAAGAACACCCGUGGCGAAGGCGGCUCUCUGGGACGGUACUGACGCUGAGACGCGAAAGCGUGGGGAGCGAACAGG